rnacentral:lncRNA from 1 species
CCUCCCUCCCUUCAAACCUUUACUCAAAAACCACCUUCUCAGUGAGGCCUUCUCUGGUCACCCUGUCUGAAAUGUCAACACUCCCAGUGCGCUUCAUAUCCUCCUUUCGGCUUAUUUUUCUCCCUAGCACCUCCUCCUCUCUAAUACUCUCCAUCCUGCUUUCUCGUCUCGUUUCACCUCUCUUGCCCCCACUCGCAUGUCAGCCUCUGGCAGCAGCAGGGAGCUCAGGAUUUUUCUCUUUUUAUCCAGAGCUCUCAGAUCAGUGACUCAUAUGUAGGAUGAAGGAAUGAGUGAAUGAAUGAAUGAAAUGCAAUUUCAAUAUAGCAUGAUCUAUGGUGUAUAGGAAGAGAUCUGGGGGGCUGUGCAGCACAGGGAAGGCUCCCGACCCGGUCCUGGGCAGUCAGAGGCUUCCCUGAGAACUGUGGAGUGAUUCAGGACAGGCCGGGCAAGAGCAGGGGAAUGUCCCUCCAGGAAGAGGAAACUGGGCAGCGAACCCCCCCACUCCCCGCUGGCCAUGGAGACGCAGCGGGGCCUCUGGGAGGCGUGCACUUGGAAGCCACGUGCAGUUGAACGUGGCCCGGUGGCAAAGGGCGGGCUGGAGCUGGGCCGAGAAUCCUGCCAACCGUGAGAAGGUGGUUAGAAUCCCCCCCACCACCCCUGCCAAGCAGAGGAGCCGGGGAGCCCAUGGCAAAGCCCCAGAGUCGGAGCUGACUUCAGAAAGGCUGGAGCCGGAGAGCGGCCCGGAGGGGAGCCAGACUGAAGACGGGACUGCGUGGAAAGAUGGCCCAAUGAUGCCCCUGAAAGAGGACAAGGGGAGAAUUAGAGCAGGCCUGGCAGGCAUUUUUCCUUAACCAUUGUAUGGAGGAGCAGCCAGAGGGAGUAUGCAAAUGAAGGAGCCUAGCCACUUUCCCGCAGAGUUCUACUCACCAGCCGGCCCGGCCAGAUUCGGCCCAGCCCGUGGUUGACUGACCCCUGGACUGGGGGUAACGGAGAGGAAAGCAUGUGCUGAAAGAAGGGCUCAGAGGUAGGGCCCACAGAACCAGAGGUUGAUGGUGCUGGUGGGGGAGAGGCAGGCGGAGGGGACCUCGAGCCGGCGCUGGGGUGCCCACAGCCUGAGCCCAGGCUUACCCAGGAGGUCUCUGGGACCACCCACUGCAGUUUGGAGUACCCCAAGAAAGCCGAGAAAAGCUGUGCAGUGGUUCAGGGAAGAAGAGCCAAACUAGAAUGAGGCAGAGACAGGGUCUCCCGAGGACCCUUCUCCGGAGUGGUCCAGGGCCUGCCCUGAAGUAGGGAUGCCUCCCCUCCGUGCCUCAGAGUGACUGCAAGGCACCGUCUGGCCUUGUCCUGCUCAGGAUGGCCUCCCUUCACCUGCCACCCUGGGCCUCCUUCUCCCCGCUAGGCUACCUUCCCCUCAGCGAGGCCCUGUGCUCUCCCUUCCUCCUGAAUCCUCUCCAAGGCGGAUGAGCUGGGAGAAGGUGGCCCAGCAAGCCCCACCGAGAAUCAGAAAAUAGGGUACCUGAGGGGAGGGGAGCUGCCAAAGAACAGGGUGUCCCAGGAGGUGAGAGCAGUGUAAGAGGAAGAAACAGGGUAUGGAUCUUGGCUCUUCACAGAGAUGGAGAGAUGCCAAACUCUCUAACAGCUGUGUGUAAGACAACUGAGGUAAAAAUAAUAAUAUUAAAAAACAAAAUGUCAAGCGGCCAAGCCAAUGGGCUCCCUCUCUGACUUCUUCCACCAGCGGUGGGCUCCCUCAGCCCACGAGGCAGCCAACGCUCCCUUGGGCAGGCGGCCGGGCAGCAGGAAGAGGGGCUGCUCCUCAUGAGCACAUUCUCCAGAAGUGGCUCCUUUUCAACAAUUUUAAAGGUCACAUGCUGACAUGACAGUUGCUAAGACUCUGAUGAAAACGCUUGCAGGCAGCAUUGUGCAAGCGAGCUCUGGAGACCCUCCCACAACGGGCUCCACAGACACAGGACAGCCUUUCAUACGGGCUGCUCCCCACCAUGCCAGGCACAGCUGUCACUCCCACAGCCCUCAGGUCAGAGCCUGGACAGGAGACAGACAGCUUCAGGUGUGGGGAGGCACACGGAACGGACAGCGAAGCAUGGGACGUGGGUCCGGCGCCAGCCACCAGCAGCUGGAGGACUUCUCGGAGCAGGUACCAUGACAGCUAUGCAGCGGGCUCCUGACUUCUGACCCACAUCAGCCUCAGGGAUUGCAUGAACAGGGCCAGCCUCAGAUGACCUUUCCCUGCUGGCGAGGCGCUGGCCGAGCACAACGAGCUCCCCGCACAAACAUAACUCACAGGAGCUCAAGUAACGAGAAGAGAAUUGCACCAGGAUGAUGAACUCGGAUGGCUGCCACCACCUUCGCCUCCUCCAACCCAUGACAUACUUCCCAUUCAUGCAAGGGAAGCUUCCAGAAGGGGCCAUGUUCCCGGUGUGGACCAUAGCUGUGGGCCUCUGAGAAGCUGCAGCAGCAUCAGCUGGAUGUUGGGAUCUGUGCUGGCACCAUGUAGGGGCUGGGACAGCUUCAGAGUCACCAGGCCCAGCUAGAACUCCAGGUUGACCUGGGAGCAAACCAGCUCCUCAGUCACUCUCCCCCAAGUCCCCCUGUGGCCACGCAAGGCUGAGAUGCUGCAGACGAGGAGGGCAGGCCCCCCUUGCAGGCUCCUUCUGCAGGCGCCCUCCUGAUAAGUUUGCUGAACCGGGUAGGAGAGAAAAGGAGACUGUCUGGAGAUGGGAGGGGCCUGAUGCCAGGCCUGGACUUCUGCAGGAGCGGAUGCUUCACAGUCACUCACGUGCAGGUGCAGUUUGAGCCAAACACACCUUGAUAGCCCUGAGGCUUAAAAGCCCAACCUCAGCCCCACACCGGAUCCUAAACAAUCCUCAUCCCCAAAGCCAGACCACCUCUAUUUGAGUCAGCUGUGUGACCACAUGCACGUCAUUUAACCUCUCUGCCUCCAUUUCCGGAAUGGUAAGACAGGAUGAUCAACGCCCUAACCUUGACGUUUGCUGUAAGGAUGUAGGACAGUGACUGCCCCCGGGAGGACUGGGUCAGCACCAGUCGUGGAUAUAACGACUCUCCUGGCCCUAAACAAGCAAAGACCUCACAGACCCAAAUCCAGCACCUUCCUUCAACACAUUUUCACAUAAACAGUGGGAGAAAAACUCAAGACUUUUUCCUCUUUCUAUUUAGAACCAUAAAAGCCCAGUUAGGGUCUCAAACCUAGAAUUUAGCUUUCCAUAAUUUCUCUAACCCGAGGCUUCUAUUAGGCCUGGUAAAUGGAGGACGUGAUCCAUGGUCCCCAUUCCAGCCUGUCACUGCAAAGUGAUCCCCUACAUUCUCACACAUAUCCACACUCACACUCAGUUUCUCAUGCCCUCGCACAGUUUCUCACGCUGACACCUCACUCAAACACACACCCGAUUGAAGGGGGACGCUGCUGCUGAACUUCUGAGACACGGUGUGUAACGUCUGCUUCCUGAGUGAAGGUCAUAGGUCAUCUGUUAACCUAUGCCGAAAACUACAGUACGGUGUGGUUGAAAGCACUGACGCCACAACAGACCAGGCCACGCACCGCCCGGCAACCCUCUCAGCUUGCCAGCCUCUUGCUUCACUCCAAGGCUCCUACAAACCCUAAAAAAUUUCUAAUCUGCAUCAUCCACCCGUUAAUAUUGACUGAGCAGUCAAAUACAAGGUCGCACUGUGUGAGACCCAAAAGACCACGAGGCUGCCCUCGCCUUCAGUGGUAACAUAAAACUCAAUUAGAGGGCACAGCGUAACGAGGAAGGGCCUUCUGACACCUGCCACGCCAUGGGGGACCUUGGGCACAUUGUGCCGAGUCUAAUAAGGGGUCACGAAAGGACAAAUAGUGUUUGACUCCACUUACAUGAGGUACCCAGAGGAGUCAAGUGCAGAGACAGAAAGAAUGGGGCAUGCCAGGGGCUGGGGGAGGCAGAGGGGGAGUGAGUGUUCGAAGGGCACAGAGUUUCAGUUUGGGAAGAUGAAAAAGUUCUGGAGAUGGAUGGUGGUGAUGGUUGCAUAAAGAUGUGAGUGUCUUAGUGCCACUGAACCGUACACUUAAAAAUGGAUAAAAUGGUAAAUUUUUUUGUUAAGCAUAUUUUACAAUUUUAAAAAAUAAAAUAAAUUACGGAGAACAAAUUAUCCCACAAAAUUAAGAGGUGAGCAGUGCAGCAUGGACCAUGAAAUCCUCCGAGGUUGCAGAACUCAGGGAAGGCUUCGUGUGGCCGUCCACCGCCUCUUAACAAGCUGUGAAGUGCUGGCUAAAAUGGAGAAUCGAGGCCCGCAAGGUGUAAAGACUGUCUUAAACUCAACGAUGUCUAUAGGAAUCGAGGGCCAGGUCUCAUCUGCCAAGAAAGCUCAACCACCAAGGCAUAGCACGGGAUGGUUGGCAUGACCAUAGACUAUAUAUCCUGAGACCCAGUUCUUUUGAGAGUGGAGGGCACUAGUGAUAAUUAUGGCAGACAACGGUGUGUGGUCACCUGGGAUGUAGGGGAAAGAGGCCAGGUUUGGGAACCAGGCAGACCUGGGUUCAAGUCCUAGCUUAGGUUCUUACUUGGGCAAAUUGCUUUCUGUCUCUGAGCCUCAGUUUCUCCACCUGUAAAAUUUCUAUCUGAUGAGAUUAUUGUGAGUAUCAAAAGUAAGACAUGAAAAGCUCGCAGCCCAGGAUCUGACAGUCCCUAAGUACUACAAGCCUGUUAUCUCUUAGCUGCAAUUCUGAACCCUGAAAAGCUCUGAAAACUGCAAGCUUCCUAAACUUGUUUCGUGGCGAAACCUGCGGGGGACCAGUGCAACGCUAGUUAGAAUCCUUAUUCCACGUAGUGUAAUUUAUUCUUAUGUUUCUUUGCAGAAAUAUUAAUGUAUCGAUGACAGGGCGCUGCUCCAGUAACAGCCAGGAGGAUAUCAUCUUCCUCAAGGCCAAAUUUUCUGUGUUAGGUUGGAAAGAUGGGGACUCUCAUUAUAGUUUCAGCAUCCUAUACAGAUCUAAAUCUCUUGUCACCUAUAGAUACAGUUAUGGAAAUGUUAUAUAAAGUGAAAAAUGGCACGUUUAGUUAAUAAAAAGCCACAUGUUAAAUACUGUGUAUGCUGUGCUCUUAUUUGUUUUAAACAGAUGUAUGCGCACAU